CCGUGAUUUACUGUAAUUAAACGUUAGAACAAAAGUAAAGAAAUCAAACACUUGUUUGCAUGCAUAUAUGUCCAUUAUAAAAGCCAUCUAAGGCCCUAUUGACAGAGCAGGCAGCCAGGCAUAUCUGCAAAGAUUGGCUUAACCUCCCAGCGAAAAAAAUAUCUCUCUCUCAGCCUGCCAGCAUCAAGCCAGGAUGAGGUCGUUCUACAAGAUGCUACUACUUGCGCUUGCCCUUGUAACGCUGCUCUCCUCAGAUGUGGUGAUCCAAGCGACGGCUAAUGGCGGCGGCUCGCUAAUCCCUGAAGACUGCCAUCAGACCCCUGUCAUCCUUGGGCCGUGUAACCCCAAGACGUGUCUUCACAACUGUCAAACCAACGUCGGCCCUGGCGCGGUUGGUGAUUGUGAUGCAGGUGGAUGCCGGUGCACAUACUGUACUGUAUUUCAGCGGAAUUAAGAAGUGAUUGUUUCUUAAUUAUUUCCCGUUUCGAUAAUAAGCGAAAUUUUAGUUUCCUUCUGUCUGGCUACCUGUCAAAUAGUACUCUACAUGGAAACUCAAAACAGGAAUGUCAGAAAUUUCAUCGACUCGAGGGGCAGUUGCCUUAUUUGUACAGUGUUGCAUGUUUGCCUGUGAUUAUCACAUCUGAAAAUAAAGGUGUGGUGCUCUAGUCUCCUCGAUU